rnacentral:lncRNA from 1 species
GGUAUCAUCAUUGCAACGAAUAUCUUCUCGCUGUUUCCCCCUUCGCCUCUGCCGCCCAUUUUCCCCAUGGCCACCGGCAUGCGUUCGGCUCCGAGCUCCAUGCCAUGCUCACCCACCUCUCGCCGGCCAUCGGCACGUGCUCCGCUCCGAGCUCCAUGCCACACUCACCCACCUCUCGCCGGCCGCUGGGAUGCGCUCCGCUCUG